rnacentral:rRNA from 1 species
UACGAAGGGGGCUAGCGUUGUUCGGAAUUACUGGGCGUAAAGCGCGCGCAGGUGGUCUUUCAAGUCAGUGGUGAAAGCCCGGAGCUCAACUCCGGAAAUGCCAUUGAAGCUGUGAGACUUGAGGACGAGAGAGGUGAGUGGAAUUCCCAGUGUAGAGGUGAAAUUCGUAGAUAUUGGGAAGAACACCGGUGGCGAAGGCGGCUCACUGGCUCGUAUCUGACGCUCAGGCGCGACAGCGUGGGGAUCAAACAGG